AAAUAAGAAACAAAAUAUUGUAAUUAGUUUCGACCUAAUUUUUUGAUGAUUUUUCAUCCUUAUUUA
rnacentral:tRNA from 1 species